rnacentral:rRNA from 1 species
AAAAGCUCGUAGUUGAAAUUUGGGACUUUAUUAUAUUGGUUUAUCUUUUGAUGAACUGUAUAAUGGGUUUCUUCCUACUAGGAUUCGACUCUGUCCUUAACUGGAUGGAGUAGUCAUCUCUCGGGGUGAUCAAUUUGUUAUUAUAUCUCCACUAAUGAGCAGAGAGGGGUAAAACUCUCAAAGUAAGUUUUGUGGAUCAAGGUAUGAUGGUGAAUUGGAGUUCUAGUUCAUUUACUUUGAGAAAAUUAGAGUGUUUAAAGCAGCCUCUUGGGGCACUGAAUACAUUAGCAUGGGGAUAAUAAAAUAGGAUCUUUACAAUAUAUUUUAUUGGUUUAAAUUGAAAUAAAGAUAAUGAUUAAUAGGGACAGUUGGGGGUAUUCAUAUUGGGUGGUUAGCGGUGAAAUGCUCGGAUCCAUUCAAGAUGAACUAAAAGCGAAAGCAUUUACCAAGGAUGUUUUCAUUAAUCAAGAACGAAAGUUAAGGGAUCGAAGACGAUUAGAUACCGUCGUAGUCUUAACUAUAAAACUAUGCCGACCAGGGAUAUGAGUUUA